rnacentral:rRNA from 1 species
AUUGAACGCUGGCGGCAGGCUUAACACAUGCAAGUCGAGCGGAGUGAUGGUGCUUGCACUAUCACUUAGCGGCGGACGGGUGAGUAAUGCUUAGGAAUCUGCCUAUUAGUGGGGGACAACAUCUCGAAAGGGAUGCUAAUACCGCAUACGUCCUACGGGAGAAAGCAGGGGAUCACUUGUGACCUUGCGCUAAUAGAUGAGCCUAAGUCGGAGUAGCUAGUUGGUGGGGUAAAGGCCUACCAAGGCGACGAUCUGUAGCGGGUCUGAGAGGAUGAUCCGCCACACUGGGACUGAGACACGGCCCAGACUCCUACGGGAGGCAGCAGUGGGGAAUAUUGGACAAUGGGGGGAACCCUGAUCCAGCCAUGCCGCGUGUGUGAAGAAGGCCUUAUGGUAGUAAAGCACUUUAAGCGAGGAGGAGGCUCUUUUGGUUAAUACCCAAGAUGAGUGGACGUUACUCGCAGAAUAAGCACCGGCUAACUCUGUGCCAGCCGCCGCAGUAA